GUGUCAGCAGCCGCGGUAAUACAGGGGGGGCAAGCGUUGUUCGGAAUUACUGGGCGUAAAGGGUCUGUAGGUGGCCAACUAAGUCAGACGUGAAAUCCCUCAGCUUAACUGGGGAACUGCGUCUGAUACUGGAUGGCUUGAGUGUGGGAGAGGAAUGCGGAAUUCCAGGUGUAGCGGUGAAAUGCGUAGAUAUCUGGAGGAACACCGGUGGCGAAGGCGGCAUUCUGGACCAUAACUGACACUGAGAGACGAAAGCCAGGGGAGCAAACGGGAUUAGAUACCCCGGUAGUCC
rnacentral:rRNA from 1 species